rnacentral:lncRNA from 1 species
CGUGAAUGCGAAGAGGGGCAGAGGGAGGAAGGCAGCGUAGACCAGCACGGAGGUGAACCAGCGCAGUGCGUUACCGGCCCCGCAUCUCCUACCACAGUCCCCGCCGCCGACCACGUCCACCUCGGCGUCCGUCCCCAGCGGCUGCCCAGCCUCGGAGGGCCCCGCCGGGAGGAGCCGUUGUCCGGUCGGGGCCGGGACCCCGCCGCGCUGCAGCUCCAGCUCCUCCACCUCUGCGGCGCCCGAGAAGCAGCCGCACCGACACAGAGCCGCCGGCUUACUGCGGUGUCUGCUACGGAGGCACGGGGCGCGGCCGGCCCGUUCCCGCCCCCUCGGCUGCACCCUGAUCCGCCCUCGGCCCGCGGGCACCACCCUCCCCAGCAGCGCGUGGAACCGCUAGGCAGCCCGCAUGCGCCGCCACGCCCCCCGCUGGUUUCUACAGGGGGAACCCAGUCUGAGGGGCCAGAUUGGGCGAGGGGUUAAAAGGGUGCGGGCCUGGGCUUGGUCUGUCAAAUGAGGGAUGGAGGCCAUCUGAAGGCCUUUCUGUGCCUCUGUCUGCCAUACUGUGAUGCCUUAACAGAACAUACACACAAUCUUGCUCAGUGAAUUAAAGUAUGUUUUCAGUAAUUUUUUUCUUCCAAAAAUGUCAAUAACUUCAGGGUUUGAUUUUCAUUUUGAUGUAAAAGCUAAAAGCUUUUUAAAGAAACAAAUUUCAAUUAAGGGUUGUUUUUCCAGUACCUUGUGACGACCCUCCUGAACUUGAGGCCAUCCUAGAGUCUCUUUCUCUUAUCUUGAGAUACCAUAAAACUUCCCCCCUAUACUGAACCCUAAAAAUUCCUUGCCUCCCUCAUCCCGAGUCAGAAUUUCCCAUCUUCCUCAUCCUGAGUCACCUGUCCUGUCAUCCAUGUUCCUCAUCCUGUGUCAUGAAGAUCCCUCCCCUUAUAUUGUAAGAUAAAACAGAUCCCUAUGCUUCUGUAAGUUGCUAGUCCUCUUUCCAGGGCUAGCCUGCUGCGUUUGCGUCAAUAAAGCUCCCAGCAUUUAUAGAGAAGGUCUAAGU